rnacentral:lncRNA from 1 species
UUAGGGUUUGUCUUAGGAUGGUUGGUCUUGGAUUGGUCCUGCCAAUUUUGGGUUGAUCGUUGUCGGACUACCAUAGCUGAGGUGUCAAGGUUGUCAGAUUCUACUUUCAUACUAGCAUGACGCACUGCCUCUCGUCGAAUCAAUGCAUAACAUUCUUCCAAAUCCAGAAGAGGAUCUUUGCGUAGAAUCUCUCCUCGAACUUGCUCAAAGUCACCAUCCAAUCCAGCAAGAAAGAUGUGCACUCGUUGUCAUUCAAUGGAUUUUCAGUAUGCUGCAAUGUCCUCAAGGUCUUUCAUGACUACCUUAUCCCAAUUAUCCAAUUCACAAAAAAUUUCAAUUAACUCUCCAUAAUAUUCAGAAAGAGACCUAUCACUUUGUUUGGCAGUGAAGGCUUUUUUAUUCAAAGUGAAAACUUGUAAUUCAUCACUUGCAUCAUAGAAGGCCUUUGAUAAUGCACUCCAAAUUUCUUGAGCGGUGGGUAAGCGUAAGUAACGCUUCAUAAUUUCUGGACUCAUGGACAUUAACAACCAUCUCUUUACCUUUUGAUUCUCAGCAUACCAUUUUUCAUAUCCAUCUUUUGACUCUCUUAGGGAUUUGUAUUACCUCGAAUAUAGGAAAGUUUUUCCUGUUCGGCAAUAUGCAUCUCCACGAGUUGUGACCAAACGUCAUAGUUUGAUUCAGUCAAAAUAAUUCCUGGAUUAAAAGUACCUUCAAAUUGAAAAACAAUAGUAUUUUUUUCACUUUUUUUUCUUUUGAUCACGAAGGAGGGACAAUGACUGGCCUUACCGACAGAAUAUCCAGGAUUUCAAUUGUAUGGCUCUGAUACUAUCUUCAAAUUGAUGAAUGGUAGUUUUUCAUUUUAUUAUUUCAUUCGUUCAUGUAUAGAGUAUAUAUAGAGGGUAAUCACCAUUCUAAGAAUGGGAAAGAAUGAUACAAGAAAUUAAUGAUAUAAGGAAAGAACAACUAAUAUCCUAAUAUCUCAACAUUCCUAAUAUCUUAACAUUCCUAAUAUCUCAACUUUCCUGAUAUCUAAACAUUCCUAAUAUCUCAACACCAAUAUCAUAGAUGAUGAUAAUAAAAACAAGUCAAAUUUAGUAGAUAGAUGCAUUUAUAAUUGAACUACUACUCCUCCAGGUAUACCUUUCCCUCACUAACAAAUAAGUCAUUUUAUGGGUCUCAAAAGUUUUUAAAUAUGAAGCACUCGUUGACACAUAAGGAAAUUAAGAAAGAAAAAUGAUUUCAAUAUCAAUCAGGACACAAAAAUCUGAAAAGCCCUGAAUCGAGGCUUUAUUUAUUAUGUUAUAGACAAGGCAUGAGAGCUAUUAAUCCACAUCAAAUGCUCUUAACUUGAGUCCACCGACUAUCCAAUUCCCAAGCCUUUUGUGGAUGUGUAAAGAUCCUUGUACCUAAACCUGCGAGGACAAUCCAACUCCCAAUCCUCAAGAUCUUCGUGCUAUGUCUUCCUUUUUGUUGGUGUUUUAAGACAAGCUAAGGAAAGAAGACACAACAGAAAAUAAAGAAAAUAUAUCAGCGGAAGUCACUUUUAUUUCCUCCAUCCAACGUACAUUUAUAGAACUGGGAAAUAACUGAAAAGAGAAAAAAAAUCUCAAAUUCAAAACAGAUAGUACGUGAUCCACAAUUUAUGAAAGUGGACUCACAUCUCCUAAAGAAUAGGAACUAACAAUGACUUAGUUUUAUUCAAACUUUGAAAAAUUAAAACAUAACGCGGUAGUCCAAAAAGCAAACUUCUAACACUCCUCCUUGCUUUAGGAACUGCAAACUCCAAGCUUUUUUCUGAGAAACUCAAACUUAGUGACUAACAAAGGCUUUGUGAAUAUGUCAGCCAGUUGCUCUUCCUUUUUGCAGUAGCGAAGAUUAAUGUCUCCAUCUUUCUGCACACCUCUCAAAAAGAAGAGUUUGAUAUUGAAAUGCUUGGUUUUCCCAUGAAACACAGGAUUGUGAGAAAUUGCUAUUGUAUUUUGGUUGUCCACGAACACUUCAAUACCUUGUGUUUGCUUCAUAUGCAAAUCAACCAAAUUUUUCCUCAGCCACAAUGCUUGAUUUACUGUCGCGGUUGCUGCUACAAAUUCCGCUUUUGCAGUAGAUUGAGCCAUAAUAUCCUAUUUUUUCGAACACCGUGAGAAACUUCCUGAGCCAAGACUGAAACAAUACCUUGAAGUACUCUUCAUAUCAUCUAAGGAACCACCCCAAUCACUGUCAGAAUACCCGAACAGCUUCAUAUUUGGAAUCUUUUGAAACUUAACUCCAUAGUCGACAGUUCCUUUGAUGUACCACACAACUCUUUUUGCUGCCUUUAGAUGCACCUCACUAUCAUAAUGCAUAAACCUUGAUAGAGCACUUAUAGCAUACAAUAUAUCAGGCCUUGUUGCUGUAAGAUACAUCAAACAGCCAAUGAGACUUCUAAAGUAUGUAUCCUCCACCUUUUCAGCUCCAUCAUCUUUGCUUAGCUUUUCUUUUUGGUUCAUGGGAGUAUUCAUUUCUUUGCAAUCUUCCAUUCUGAACUUCUUGAGAAUCUCAUUUGCGUAUUUUCUCUAGCAAAUAAAAACUUGAUCUUUUCAUUGCUUGAUCUCCAUUCCAAGGAAGUAUGUCAUUAGACCAAGAUCUGUCAUUUCAAAAACUUGCAUCAUAUCCAGCUUGAACUCAUCAAUAAGCUUUGCACUACUUCCUGUAAUCAAAAGAUCAUCCAUAUAAAGAGAAACAACAAGAAUUUCAUUGUUAUUUUCCUUAACAUAAAGUGUGGAUUCUGAAAGACUUUUUUUCAAGUCCAGACCAAGCAAAUAAUCAUCUAUUCGACUAUACCAGGCCCUUGGUGCCUGUUUUAAGCCAUAAAGAGCUUUAUGAAGUCGACAGACUUUGUCUUCUUUGUCUUCCACAACAAAACCUUCAGGUUGCUCAACAUAAAUUUCUUCUUGAAGAAUUCCAUUAAGGAAUGCUGAUUUAACAUCCAUCUGAUGCACUUUCUAGCCAAGUUGCGCAGAAAUAGCACGAAGUAAUCUGAUUAUGUCAAGCCUUGCUACUGGAGCAAAUGUUUUAGAAUAAUCAACACCAAAAAUUUGUGCAUAUCCUUUAACUACAAGCCUUGCUUUAUACUUGUUGACUGAACCAUUAGCAUUUAGCUUGGUUCUAAACACCCAUUUUACCCCAAUUACCUUUCUUUCUUGAGGUCUAUCAACAAGCUCCUAGGUUUUGUUUUUUUCAAUCAUGAACAGCUCCUCCUUCAUUGCAUCCUUCCAUUUGGACUUUUUGAGUGCUUCUUCAUGGUUGGCAGGUUCAUAAAUUGCAACAUUGCAUCUCUGAUAAAUUUCAGAGAGCAAUCAAGUACCUCUUACUGGUGGAUCAUCCUCCCUUUCAUCUAAAAAACUUGUUUCAAGCUCUGUCUUUGAAUCUUCCCAAUCCCAUUCUUCAUUUUCCAUGAAGUGGACAUCUCUACUGAUAAUUAUAGUAUAAGUAUGUGGCUGAAAGACUUUAUAAGCCUUUGAAACUGUACUAUAACCAAUAAAAAUUCCUGCAACAGCUUUUUGUCUAGUAUAUCUCGUUUAACCUGAGGAACAUAGGUAAAACAAAGACAACCAAACACUUUAAGAAAAGUCAUUGGAGGUUUGUACCCAUACCAUGCUUCAAAAGGAAUUUGAUUCUUUACUGCCUUUGUAGAGAGUCUAUUAUGCAAAAAUAUAGCUGUGUUUGCAGCCUCUGCCCAAAAUUUCUUCAGCAAAUUCUUCUCGUGCAGCAUGCAUCUGGCCAUCUCCAUAAUAAAUCGAUUUCUUCGUUCACUCACUCCAUUUUGCUCUGGAGAAUAAGAAGCUGAAAGUUGGUGUUCAAUUCCUACUUCUUCACAAAAUAAAUUGAGUUGACAUGAAAUAUAUUCCUUGCCAUUAUCAGAUCUUAAAAUCUAAAUUUUGCAGCCACUUUCAUUCUCCACUUUUGCUUUGAACUUCUAGAAAGUGUUCCCAACCUCAGAUUUGAAUUUCAAAAAAUAUAUCCAGCACAUUCUGGUCAGAUCGUCUAUAAAAAUGAUAUAAUAGCGACUACCUUUGAGUGAGGGUGUCCUUUGAGGUCCUCCAACAUCGGUGUGAAUCAGCUGCAACUUAUUUGAGGCUCUCCAAGUUGCUGUUGGGAAUGGAAGUCUGCUUUGCUUUCCAUAUUGACAAGUCUGGUAGCUUGUGGAAAUCACUUCAAACUUAGGUAAGCCUUCCACCAUUUCUGAUUUUUUCAUUUUGAGAAGCCCUUGAAAAUGAAAGUACCCCAGCCACUUAUGCCAUAACUCAACAAUAUUUUCUUUUGUUGGAAAAGCUAUUUGUUCUUCCUCAAGUGGAUCUAAUGAGAAACUUUUUCCUCUCAUUUUGACCUUAAACAAGUCUGGACCAGAGGCAUCCUUGAUCAGGCAAUAAUUAUCUUCAAAAUACACCUUGAAACCUUUUUCUAGUAGCUAACCAACACUUAACAAGUUUUGGUCUAUUUUAGGUACAUAAAUCAUAUCAUCAAUGACUUUAGUACCUAAAUGGGUUGCAAUAGCAACAGUUCCAAUUCCUUUCGCAGGAAUAUGACCACCGUGACCUAUCCGGACUCUUGCAAUUCUUGUAGGCUUCAAUUCUUUGAAAAGUUCCUUGUCAUGAGUCAUGUGAUUGGUGCAUCCAUUGACAAUCAACCAGCUAUUGCUUGAAAUGCUACCUGAAAAACAAGUUGCAACAAAGAGAUGAUCAUUUUCAUCUUCAUUAGCGAUUUGGGCAUCUGCGUCUUGCUGCUGGUUUUGGUUCUUGCAAAUGAUAGCUUCAUGUCCAAGGUGAUUGCACUUGUUACACUUAUCAUCUGGCCUUUUCCAGCACUUGAACGGUGAGUGGCCAGUUCUAUCACAAUGCUUACAAGGUGGGUACUUUCCCUUGGAACUUCUAGCUUUGUUUUUGUUGCUCCUGUGCGCUGCAGCUUCUCCAUUUGCUUGCUGGUGCUUUCUAUUUUUCUUCUUUUUGUUUCUCCAACCAUCUUCAUGUUUGGCGGGCAAGGCUUCCUCUACAGUUGCUUCUUGUCUCAUAGCUAUUCGUUGUUCUUGCACCUGCAAAGAGUUCAACAACUCUGCCAACGUGAUUUUGGACAAGUCUUUGGUAUUUUCCAAAGUGGUUAGGGUAGCUUCAAAUCUUUCAGGAAGAGUAACCAGAAUUUUUUCAACAAUACGAGAGUCUUUAAACUCCGAACCAAGCAAUCUUACUCUGUUGGCUAUGCUUAAAAGCCUUUCAGAGUACUCCUUGAUGGUUUCUGACUCUUUCAUCUUCUACAACUCGAAAUCUCUGAUUAGAUUCAGCACUUUCAUGCCUUUAAUUCGAUCAUCUCCUUCAUAUUCAAAUUUGAGAUAACUCCAUAUGGCUUUGGCUGAUUUCAAAGACAUAAUUUGGGUGAAGAUUGUAGCUGAAACUGCUGCAAGUAGGCAAGCUUUUGCCUUAGACUUUCUGGUUUUCCUUUCCUCGUGAUUCUUGACUUGAGCCAUCGUUGGGUUGUCUAAUAGCGGAGGAACGUCAUAGUAAUCUUCAACAGCCUCCCAUAGAUCUACAACAUCUAGGUAGGCUUCCAUCCGCACAACCCAUAUGGUGUAAUUAUCACCAUUGAAGAUUGGAGGUGCCAUUGCUGAGAAACUUGAGUCUCCUUCCAUGCUUGAAAUUUUGGUGGAAUACGUGGUGUUUUGGUGGCCCUCAACUCUCAACUCACAAUUUUUUUCACUCACAAUCCCUUAAAGAAUAUAAAGCUCUGAUACCAAUUGUUGGUGUUUUAAGACAAGCUAAGGAAAGAAGACACAAUAGAAAAUAAAGAAAAUAUAUCAGCGGAAGUCACUUUUAUUUCCUCCAUCCAGCGUAUAUUUAUAGAACUGGGAAAUAACUGAAAAUAGAAAAAAAAUAUCAAAUUCAAAAUAGAUAGUACAUGAUCCACAAUUUAUGAAAGUGGACUCAAAUCUCCUCAAGAAUAGGAACUAACAAAGACUCAGUUUUAUUCAAACUUUGAAAAAUUAAAACAUAACAUGGCAGUCCAAAAAACAAACUUCUAACACUUUUAUACAACACGUCGAAUCAACCGUUGCUCCGAACACCAAAAGGAUCACAGCUAAAGCCGCAAUUAAAACCUUAAAAAGAUUGGUGGCGCUGGGAGCAUAGAAAGAUUGAGCGGACGAGCUGUUCCAUUGAUGCAAAAACUCCAUCCCAAUAUGUAAUGAGAGCUCCUCUCUUCUCCCGUGGAUGCAGAAAAACCAACAUACAUACUGUUCGUGACAACCCUAGAUAGCUCGAUUCCUUUAGACAUGAGUGGUUUCAUUGGUUUGUCCGGAAUCGAUAAUGGAGCGAUUGUGACAUUCACAACACCAUCCGCGUAGUCGAUCCAAGCUUGGAUAUGUCCACUGUCCAAAUUUACCUCUUCCUUCUUGUCUGUAUCAUUGACAUAAUAUGAAGCAGGUUCUGUUGCAACUGAAUCCAUGCUAUUGAUGUUGAUUCCAACAUGGUUACCUUCACUGCUUUUGCCUUCAUUGUGUCCGUUAACUGUAUCGAAUUCAACCGCAAAGAUGUGGUUUGAUUCAUCACCAUCAUUUGUGGAGUUGAGAAUUCCCAGAUAAUGCCCACUGUCAGCCCCUUGUAGGUCUGUAGAUGGUGAUAACAAAAAUGCGAGGCCGUAGCCGCCUCCGUCAGAGCCGGAGGGAAUGAUUGAGAAAACAAAGGAGGUGCUGAAUGAAGAAAUAUUGUUGGAAGAGUUCAACAGAUUGAUUGGGUCAGGAUAGAAUGCAUGCC